GUUUCACAUACACUGUCACUGCUUCACCCCCACAGCACGUUCCUGUGCAUUGUUUUAAAAAGUGUGUUGCUUUAAUAUUGAACCUCGAGACUUUUUGUUUCCUCACAGAGAAACCAUCGAGUCGCUGCAUCUACAGGCGACCACGUAGAGCAGAGGACCCCUCACACACCUCUCAGGAGCCCCACCAAUGCUACUCCAUAUACUCCAGAUGCGGUUGAUGAGGUGGUAAAGUUCAUAGCUCCUACAGAGGAUGAGGACGAAAGAGCGGAGAAGGAGGACAAGCUGCCCGUGUUUCAGGAAGAGGAGGACAAGCUGCCCGUGUUUCAGGAAGAGAAGGAGGACGAGCUGCCCGUGGCGUGGGCCAGGCUGUGGGCCACACACAGGCCAUGCAGGACCCGUCCUCCAACAUGUCUGCCAGUACAAUCCUGUGUUCUAAGUUUCAAAGCAAUAUAUAACAGGG
rnacentral:lncRNA from 1 species